rnacentral:rRNA from 1 species
AUUGAACGCUGGCGGCAUGCCUUACACAUGCAAGUCGAACGGUAACAGGUUAAGCUGACGAGUGACGAACGGGUGAGUAAUGUAUCGGAACGUGCCCAGUCGUGGGGGAUAACUGCUCGAAAGAGCAGCUAAUACCGCAUACGACCUGAGGGUGAAAGCGGGGGAUCGCAAGACCUCGCGCGAUUGGAGCGGCCGAUAUCAGAUUAGGUAGUUGGUGAGGUAAAGGCUCACCAAGCCGACGAUCUGUAGCUGGUCUGAGAGGACGACCAGCCACACUGGGACUGAGACACGGCCCAGACUCCUACGGGAGGCAGCAGUGGGGAAUUUUGGACAAUGGGCGCAAGCCUGAUCCAGCCAUGCCGCGUGCGGGAAGAAGGCCUUCGGGUUGUAAACCGCUUUUGUCAGGGAAGAAAAGGUUCUGGCUAAUACCUGGGACUCAUGACGGUACCUGAAGAAUAAGCACCGGCUAACUACGUG